GUUAUAAAUGGUAUGUGGGCUGAAGAUAGGGCUUCUGUAUUUUCUGACUCCCUUCUCUGUGAUUUGUUUUGUGACUUGUCCUUUGGAGGGUGAAGAAGUGAGACCCUACAUGGCUUUUUAGUGCAUUGAUGGAGCAGAGACACGUCUAUGAACAACUGCCUAUGCAAACUGAUUACUCGGCAGUAUAAUUUAUCAGUUUGUAUGAGUAAGUGAGUGCUUCUCACUAUGGAUUUAGCUUGCACUUCAAUUUAGUUCCAUUAUCUUGCUUUGGAUUUAUGGAAAUUCUGAACAGUGAUGUGAGAGUGACUACAGUUUGAAGUAUCUGUUAAAUACAGCAACAUGACAUCACAAGGAUUGUUUUGGAGUCUUCUGGAUAUGAGAACAUUAUAAAAGGUGAAAAAGUAGAACUGAAAUAUGAAGGGAGAAAAAGAGACAAACAUGGUUUCAAGUCUCACUUAGAGAAGAAGGAUUGUUUAUUUAUUUGAUGGAAAUUGGGUCAAUUGAAGACUCUGACACAGAGAAUAACGGUACCAGACCUGAGUCCAGUCUUAGCUUUAGUAGGAACAAAAUGUAUCAAUCAAAUUUAUAUAGGACCAAAUACCAGUGAAAGAAAUUAGACAUAAUUACUGAAAGAAUAAAUUACAUGAGAUAUUCACUGUACUUAGCCACAUGACAUGAAAACCUAUGCCCUUUAGAGCAAGCACAGUUCCAUGCAAAACUGUAGAGAAGUUUUCUCACCCCUUUUUCACAUGCUUCUCACAUUGUAGCACCCCUCCUUGAAACCAUCCUACUUCUACUAUCCUCCAGUUUCCUCUGGAUUUGAAUGUCCAUAUCAUGCUAUGGUCCUUCAGUCAGCUCCUGUGUCAGAAAUCAGGGCCCUGCUCUGGGCUCUUCCUUCAUCCUGUAACUAUAGUCAAAUAAGUCCUGUUAAGUCUACUUCCUUAAAAACUCUUAAUAAUCUCUUCCCCUUCUUCAUUGCCAUUGCCUAUUGCACCAUCUUAUUCAGAACACCAUUUUUCUUACCUAUAAUGUUGAAAGUAACUCUUCAACAGUCCUGUUGCGUGCUUUAUCCCAUUGCUUCUUAUAUAACAGAUGUGGUGAUAUUUAGCCUAUUUGUAGUUCCUUGAAACCAUCCUUUGUACUGCCAUCUAAGUAAUCUUUAAAAUAACAAGAUAAAUAUUUCUAUGACCUCCAUUGUCUAAAGCAAAUUUCCAAUGUAUAUUGUGAAAAAAAUGCCAAAGAGUUUCAUGACAAAUGCUAUAUACUAUAGUCUUGGGAGAGCCACAGGGUAAAUUAGUUCUAAAGAGCUCUCUUUGGUAGAGGAAACUGUUAAAAUGUGAUCAGCCUAAUAAGAUCAUAAUCAUAUGACUAUGAACUAUUUUAAAUGUACCUAUCAAUUUUUUCAACCUACUGUUUUGAAGUAUAUUCAAUCUAUUGUCUCAAGUAUAUUUUUCAAUGUACUUGAGAGUAUAUUGACCUGAAGAGAAAAGUCCAAACUCCUAUGACCUUACUAUUGUUCUGACCUCAUCUCUCACAGCUCCCUCUUAUUCCUGGUGUUCUAUCACAUGAUAAUGAAAUUUGACAGAACAGUAUUUAUGUUACUGGGGGUGUGGGGCAUUGAGGAAGCAUGGCAAAUGAGAGGGAAGUGGUAGAAAAAUGACUUUUAUCAUGUGCCUCUAAGAAGAGACAUAUAUGGAUUGAGAUCCACUUAAAAGGGAAAAGUUAAAAAAAAUCAAAACCCAAAAAUCACCACCAUUCUGUGGAUGUGGUAUAUUUAAUUGUCUAAUAAUAAUAAAUUUCCCACAAUGUCAGAUGUUAAGAGUACAAGAAAGAGUUACAAAAGGAAGAGGUUAGGGCAAUAAAUUGAAAAGUGAGUAGAGUUGAGGAAAAUGCUUUGCUAGAUUGCUAGAUUGAAGUUUUCUUCAAUCUAGCAAAAAAGGAGACAGGAGAAAAGGAGCAAAUUGCAAAGGCAAUGGAGGGGAGAUAACAUAGCUGAUUACUAAAGAGGAUAUUUGUGUACUUAUUUGUAUGGUGUGUGUGUGUACGUGUGUGUGUGUGUGUCUGUGUAUGUGUGGUGGUACUUGAAAGACAAAUUGGAUUAGGGUAGUAUUUUGAUUCUGUGUUCAAUUCUCUGAACAAUGACUCAGCUUGAUAGGCUAUUAAUGUUUAAUAGUCCCAUAUAUUUCUCCUAUGCUGUCUACAAGAAUAUCAUUCUCAUUAUAAAAUUUUGUGUAUCUCAUUUGUCUUACAUUUUCACAAAUAUAAAAAAAUACUUCUUUACUCACUCUACAGCUCUGUGAACGUUCAGAGUAAACCUUCUUAGGAUUACUUAUGGAAAAGAAAAGAAUAUUCACUCUAUCUUGUAUAUACAAACCAUGUUAACAUUAUUUCUAGAUAUAGAACUGGCUGCAUACGAUUUCAACUGUUAUUCUGAACAAAUUUAAGUAAUUCUUUAUUCUCAGCAUAUUGGCAACAUAGAAAUGCAUUUUAGAGGUGCAGAGGCACAGAGGGAAAUUUGAGCCAAAUGAAUCUGCUAGAUAUUUCUGCACAGUUUUCAUAAUUCAUUGUUAGGUCUGGCUUCAAGGAGGGCAAAGUUCACAUAUUUCUUUUUUAUAUUGAAAUAAUCACAAUAUUAUUUUUUAGUAAAAAUGUUUGAUUUUAUUCCAAAAAAUCUUUAAGUAAGGAGUAAGAUUUCUGCAUGAUCUGCGAAAUGAAGGUGGAACAGAAUAGAAGCCCUCUUCUGUACAAUGUCACCAAAACAUCCCGAAGUUUUAUCCUGCCUGGAAAAUUUCUUACACAUGAUUCUUACUGCUUAGCUUGAAAUUGCACCUAGGAAGAAGCUUUUGUUCUCAGUGCUGCCAAAACUUCCAUUUUUCAGCAGUGACCUCAGUUUAGCACCUGCUUAUAAGAUGUGUUUGCACAUCGUUGGUACGUUAUAGUGACAUACAUGUUCUCAUCUAGGAGAUUGUCAUAGAAUUCAAGAGAUGUUAACAUUUUUCCAUCUGUGUGUGUGAAAGUGACGUUUCCUGUUAAUUUUGUUCUCUUGCUGAAUUCUCUAAGCAAAAGCCUUCUGUGGGAGGGAGAAUGAUGUCAUUAUAGUCAUAGCAUAAAAAUUUUCAACCUUUAGAAUGAGACAUAUUGUGGCAUAUAUAUUACUACUUUUAAAAGCAGUGACACAAAAACUUGGAGGACGAUGAUAUCAAUUUUAUAUUUUCAGGUGUGGGGGUUUCCAGGAGACUUGAGAAUGACUCCAGGACUCAUAGUUCUCCUGGAACAUGGUUUUCCACUGUAGCCUUAGAAGAGGAAAGCCCAUCUAUGGAUACUUAUGUUUAUGAGAAUAGAGACUUGACUGUUUAAUGUCAGAGGAAUAGAGAGUUUGGCAAGCAGAACAAUCUAUCAGUGACGGCCUUUGGAAAAAAUGGGCUAUUUUUAGUAAAAGUUUUCAUAAUGACAUGAUUUAAAGUAAAAUAAAUUAGACUUUUGAUUUCAACUCUGUGUUAGAGUUCUCCAGAUAAAUGGAACCAAUAAAAAAUAUUUACAGGAAAUGGCUCACAUAUUAUGGUGGCUAAGAAGUCCUACGAUCUGCUGUCUUCAAACUGGAGAACCAUAAAUGUCAAUGGUGUAAUUCAGUCUGAAUCUGAAGGCCUAAGAACCAAGAGAAAUGAUGGUAUAAUUCCUGGUCUGAAUCCAAAAGCAGGAGAAGAUGUCCCAGUUCAAGCAGAAGGAAUAAAUUCAUUCUUUAUCUUCCUUCUUGUUCUAUUUGUGUCUUCCAUGGACUGGAUGUUGACUGUCCACAUUGGUGAGGGCACAUCUUUUUUGUUCAGUGUACUUAUAGAAAUGCUAAUCUCUUCCAGAAACACCCUCACAGACAUAUCCAGAAGUAAUAUUUUAAUAGCUAUCUGGAUAUCCCUUAACCCAAUCAAGUUGACACAUAAAAUUAACCAUCAAAAGCUCUGACAUGUAAAAAGCUUUUUUUUUUUUUUAAUACUUUUACUGGACCCAUUAGAGAACUGAGGUUCCAGAGUAUAUUGCUACCUUGAAAUAUAGAGAAACAGGCAAAUAUGGAGAUGCUUUCAAUUUCCUUUUCUGGAAAAGAAGCCACUGGAGUCAUAAGCUGAUAAGAACACUCAAAUGAUAGUUUUAAUUUAUUGUUGGAGGCUCAGUGUGGACUACCAUGAGAAUGAGAAAUUCCUGUGAGCAGCAAUCUUGGUGCUCAGCACUCCAAACCCCUAAAUAAUUUCUUGGGUUUUUCCUGCAGGAACCACACUAAAUUCACAUGUUGAAAAGUCAAAAAAUAUCUUCUCCUGGUUCUGGGAGGAGAAGGGGAAAAUUAGCCAGUGUUAAAUACUCAUAGAGUAUUCUCCACACACACACACACAUACACAAAGAAAAGUUUACUCUGUAAGGGUAAGACUUUACUGGAGCCUUAUCCACCUGAUGAUAAGGAUGGCAUAAGGAAGUCAUUUCUUCGACUCUAGCAUCGUCUGGUCUUUCUGUGACAUUUAAGGGGGGAAAAAAAUCUAAGAACUGUAACUUGUGAAAGUUACAGUCUAUGUCUAAAGACCCACUAAAAGACAGAUUUAAUCAUAAUGCUGUAGAAUGCUCUUCCUCCCUGACUCCUUACCAUCACAUCAAUAAGGAUCCAGUAUAAUAGUGUUAUUUCCCAAAGAGCUGUAAGGUAGACUUUAUCUAAAGAGUUCUGAGGGACACUAAACACAACAGGGGAGACAAAAACAAGGGCACUCUAGGCAUUUGAAUUCUCUGGCACCUACAACUACAACAAACAGUAAACAUGGCCCUACUCCUAGCCACAUUAUCAUAAAACCCCACACUAAAGGUCUACUUACCUAAUUUCCUAACACCUACCUCAUGCAU
ensembl:lncRNA novel transcript